rnacentral:lncRNA from 1 species
GACUGUUAUCGAUUAUUUCUUUCAUCCAUAAAAUCUCCAAAAAUGACACAUGUUAGUAUUCACAAAUUACUUGACUUCAUGGGGUUGAUCUUCACUUUGGGGCUAGCAGACGUGACUAUCUCAUCAUGAGUAGAUGUUUUGAACACAAGAACCUUCAUGUUAGUAGCCUUAUUGAAGAAACUUUCAAGAAUAUUGAAUGUCUUCUUUGUUGAUCAUUCUUAAAGGAGAAGCGAAGACUUAAGGCAUUACCUCAUUAUAGGGAAACCACCGAUCACCAGAGAAUUGACUUUCGGUUGAAUAACUUUGGCAUUGGAUCCUUUUUAUCAUCCGCAAUUUCAUGAUAUGGAUUUGGAAUUUCCUAAUAUUUCAAGUGCAUCAUGGUAGCUUGAUAUUGAACUCAAAUUGUAAAUCUAUAGAAGUGCAAGCGAAAGAAAAUGAAAGCGUUAAAAUAAAAAAUACUAUAUAUCAAAAAGAGACGAUGCACCAGCAAAAUAUAAUUUUUGCUGUGAGAAAGCGCAAAGUUGUUAAAAGCACAACGACAAAAAUCAAAAUUGAGCUCAAAAAAAUAUCUGUAUAAAUUUAUAGAGAAUCUUAACCUAAUUUUUGUAUAUAUUGUAGCUCCACAAGUUCUAUUUCCAACGGCACAAACAGAUCAUAGUUUUGACGUGUUUGCAGAAAGAUAUGAUUUUUUUAGUGAGGACGCGUAAAGAUAUGAAAAUCAGAAUACCAAUAUUUUUGAAAUAGAUUCAAAAGUAUAUAUUUAUAAAUAUACAAAGAAUCUGGAUUUGUUUUCUGUAUAUGUUUUAGUUCUAGAAGUGCUCUUUUCAAUGGCACAAGCAAAUUAUGAUUUUGAUGCGUCUACAAAGAGAUAUAACUUUUUUCCGUCGAGACGCGUUGUUUCCAAAAAAUUUCAUUGAAUUAUUUGAGGACAGAAGGAUUGGGAAGAAAGGAAGUGCAAAGAACAGAGAAGCGGUGUGUACCUCUUCUGUGACCUAACUUCAUGAGGUUGAUCUAACGAUGUAUCUCCACGCCAAAACUUUUAAAAGAAUUGCUUCUUAAAGUUACACAUGUUCAACAACCAAUAAGAGAAAAUACUUCUGCAGAAAC